CCCUUAGAUGUUCUGGGCCGCACGCGUGCUACACUGAGUAAUUCAAUGGGCAAGGGAACGCUAGAGCAUUACCUAAUCUUGAAAUUUGCUCGUGAUGGGGAUCGACGGUUGCAAUUUUCCGUCGUGAACGAGGAAUACCUUGUAGGCGCAUGUCAUCAUCAUGCGCCGAAUACGUCCCUGCCCUUUGUACACACCGCCCGUCGCUCCUACCGAUUGAGUGAUCCGGUGAGGCUCUGGGACCUGGACGGAAAGAGCGUUUCGCUUGUUCUGUUUGGGAAACUUGGUCGAACCUUAUCAUUUAGAGGAAGGAGAAGUCGUAACA
rnacentral:rRNA from 1 species